rnacentral:rRNA from 1 species
CAGUCGCCACGGUAAAACAGAGGGUGCGAGCGUUAAUCGGAUUUACUGGGCGUAAAGCGUGCGUAGGCGGCUUUUUAAGUCGGAUGUGAAAUCCCUGAGCUUAACUUAGGAAUUGCAUUCGAUACUGGGAAGCUAGAGUAUGGGAGAGGAUGGUAGAAUUCCAGGUGUAGCGGUGAAAUGCGUAGAGAUCUGGAGGAAUACCGAUGGCGAAGGCAGCCAUCUGGCCUAAUACUGACGCUGAGGUACGAAAGCAUGGGGAGCAAACAGGAUUAGAUACCCCGGUAGUCCCUGUCUCUUAUAU